rnacentral:rRNA from 1 species
UACGUAGGGUGCGAGCGUUAUCCAGAUUUACUGGGCGUAAAGGGCGCGUAGGCGGCCGAUCAAGUCAGAUGUGAAAGUCCUGGGCUUAACCUGGGGACUGCAUUUGAUACUGAUUGGCUUGAAUGCAGGAGAGGAUAGCGGAAUUCCCAGUGUAGAGGUGAAAUUCGUAGAUAUUGGGAAGAACACCGGUGGCGAAGGCGGCUAUCUGGACUGUGAUUGACGCUGAGGCGCGAAAGCGUGGGGAGCAAACAGG